ACGGAAGGCAGCAGUGGGGAAUAUUGCACAAUGGGGGAAACCCUGAUGUAGCGACGCCGCGUGAGUGAAGAAGUAUUUCGGUAUGUAAAGCUCUAUCAGCAGGGAAGAAAAUGACGGUACCUGACUAAGAAGCACCGGCUAAAUACGUGCCAGCAGCCGCGGUAAUACGUAUGGUGCAAGCGUUAUCCGGAUUUACUGGGUGUAAAGGGAGCGUAGACGGCGAGGCAAGUCUGAAGUGAAAUGCGGGGGCUCAACCCCUGAACUGCUUUGGAAACUGUUUUGCUAGAGUGCAGGAGAGGUAAGUGGAAUUCCUAGUGUAGCGGUGAAAUGCGUAGAUAUUAGGAGGAACACCGGCGGCGAAGGCGGCUUACUGGACUGUAACUGACGUUGAGGCUCGAAAGCGUGGGGAGCAAACAGGAUUAGAUACCCUGGUA
rnacentral:rRNA from 1 species